CUCAAACGUAUUAUCAUGGCUCGUCAGCAUAUACAAUAUACCAGUGCUCACACGUAUUAUCAUGUCUCGUCAGCAUAUACAAAUACCAGUGCUCACACGUAUUAUUAUGGCCCGUCAACAUACACAAUAUGCCAGUGCUCACACGUAUUAUCAUGGCUCGUCAACAUACACAAUAUGCCAGUGCUCAAACGUAUUAUCAUGGCUCGUCAGCAUAUACAAUAUACCAGUGCUCACACGUAUUAUCAUGGCUCGUCAGCAUAUCCAAUAUACCAUACUCACACGUAUUAUCAUGGCUCGUCAGCAUACACAAUAUACCAGUGCUCAAACGUAUUAUCAUGUCUCGUCAGCAUAUACAAAUACCAGUGCUCACACGUAUUAUUAUGGCCCGUCAACA